rnacentral:rRNA from 1 species
AUUGAACGCUGGCGGCAGGCCUAACACAUGCAAGUCGAGCGGAUGAAGGGAGCUUGCUCCUGGAUUCAGCGGCGGACGGGUGAGUAAUGCCUAGGAAUCUGCCUGGUAGUGGGGGAUAACGUCCGGAAACGGGCGCUAAUACCGCAUACGUCCUGAGGGAGAAAGUGGGGGAUCUUCGGACCUCACGCUAUCAGAUGAGCCUAGGUCGGAUUAGCUAGUUGGUGGGGUAAAGGCCUACCAAGGCGACGAUCCGUAACUGGUCUGAGAGGAUGAUCAGUCACACUGGAACUGAGACACGGUCCAGACCCCUACGGGAGGCAGCAGUGGGGAAUAUUGGACAAUGGGCGAAAGCCUGAUCCAGCCAUGCCGCGUGUGUGAAGAAGGUCUUCGGAUUGUAAAGCACUUUAAGUUGGGAGGAAGGGCAGUAAGUUAAUACCUUGCUGUUUUGACGUUAUCAACAGAAUAAGCACCGGCUAACUUCGUG